rnacentral:rRNA from 1 species
UACGAAGGGGGCUAGCGUUGUUCGGAAUUACUGGGCGUAAAGCGCACGUAGGCGGAUACUUAAGUCAGGGGUGAAAUCCCGGGGCUCAACCCCGGAACUGCCUUUGAUACUGGGUAUCUCGAGUCCGGAAGAGGUGAGUGGAAUUCCGAGUGUAGAGGUGAAAUUCGUAGAUAUUCGGAGGAACACCAGUGGCGAAGGCGGCUCACUGGUCCGGUACUGACGCUGAGGUGCGAAAAGCGUGGGGAGCAAAGCAGG